AACGUAGGACGCAAGCGUUAUCCGGAGUUACUGGGCGUAAAGCGCGGGCAGGCGGCUCGAUGCGUCUGAUGUGAAAUCUCCUCGCUCAACGGGGAGAGGCCAUUGGAAACGGUCGGGCUGGAGGGCAGUAGAGGCAGGCGGAAUUCCGGGUGGAGUGGUGAAAUGCGUAGAGAUCCGGAGGAACACCAGAGGCGAAGGCGGCCUGCUGGGCUGCACCUGACGCUGAGCCGCGAAAGCCAGGGGAGCGAACAGG
rnacentral:rRNA from 1 species